rnacentral:rRNA from 1 species
ACAGCAGUCGCCGCGGUAAUACAGAGGGUGCGAGCGUUAAUCGGAUUUACUGGGCGUAAAGCGUGCGUAGGCGGCUUCUUAAGUCGGAUGUGAAAUCCCUGAGCUUAACUUAGGAAUUGCAUUCGAUACUGGGAAGCUAGAGUAUGGGAGAGGAUGGUAGAAUUCCAGGUGUAGCGGUGAAAUGCGUAGAGAUCUGGAGGAAUACCGAUGGCGAAGGCAGCCAUCUGGCCUAAUACUGACGCUGAGGUACGAAAGCAUGGGGAGCGAACAGGAUUAGAUACCCGGGUAGUCCCUGUCUCUUAUAC